AUUGAACGCUGGCGGCAGGCCUAACACAUGCAAGUCGAGCGGAUGAGUGGAGCUUGCUCCAUGAUUCAGCGGCGGACGGGUGAGUAAUGCCUAGGAAUCUGCCUGGUAGUGGGGGACAACGUUUCGAAAGGAACACUAAUACCGCAUACGUCCUACGGGAGAAAGUGGGGGAUCUUCGGACCUCACGCUAUCAGAUGAGCCUAGGUCGGAUUAGCUAGUUGGUGAGGUAAAGGCUCACCAAGGCGACGAUCCGUAACUGGUCUGAGAGGAUGAUCAGUCACACUGGAACUGAGACACGGUCCAGACUCCUACGGGAGGCAGCAGUGGGGAAUAUUGGACAAUGGGCGAAAGCCUGAUCCAGCCAUGCCGCGUGUGUGAAGAAGGUCUUCGGAUUGUAAAGCACUUUAAGUUGGGAGGAAGGGCAGUAAGUUAAUACCUUGCUGUUUUGACGUUACCAACAGAAUAAGCACCGGCUAACUUCGUGCCAGCCGCCGCAGUAAAAC
rnacentral:rRNA from 1 species